AGAACUUGCCUACUAAAUCAAAAGAACUAAACCACAUUCCUUAAACUCAUUGCGUGGCAGCAAGUGUGGUGUUGUGUUUGUAAAUACAAUUUCUUUUUUUGCUGCUUUCAAGUGCUUUUUCUUUUUACAAUUAAUUUAUUCCGAUUCAUUCUUGGAGUAAACAUUUACAUAUUUUGGAUUUAAGUGCCAUUGUGUUCAGGGGUAUUGCAAUAAGAAUUUCUUUGUACUUACAUGUAUAUUUUUACAAUUUUAUUAUUAUUUUCAUUUUUUUGCCACACUUCGAUGCUUUUUUCUAGUGCUUAUACAUGUGAUUUAUUUUAUUGUUUACAUUUUAAGUAUAUGUAUACAGUAGAGCAGUGCUUUGUUAGAUAUCUUUGUUAUAGAACGCCCGAUUUUUGAUACCUUUUUCCCGGUUUUGCGUCCGUGUGCUACGUCAUUUGCUACCAUAACGAGACUUGUCUGUUCAAAGAUUUGCGUUUCUAUUUUCUACAGACAUCUGAUAACCUUUAAACGUUAGUUCCAUUUUGUGUAGCAUUAUGACGCAAAAACGGAAAAUAGGUCUGUAUUUAUUUGGCGUUUUUUUUUAUUCAUUUUCAUUUAUUGACAUUUCCAUUUUGCAAUUACAUGGAUCAACUAUGCAAUAAUUCUUUAAACAACGAAGAUAAGCGAUUACAAAAUAUUCCUCCAAUAUCACAACGAUUUGAGGUUUACAUGCGUUAACUUUUGUAAGUCUGAAUAUUAGAGUUGUUCAGACUGUUACUUUUUAUAUAUACAUUUUUUUUCUCCCAAUCAAAAUGAGCAUGCUUGAUUACUUGCUUGACUUUACAUGUAAGUUUAUACAUGAAUAUUUUCAAUUUGAUACAACAAAAUAAACGUUAAUGAA
rnacentral:misc_RNA from 1 species